rnacentral:rRNA from 1 species
UGGGGAAUAUUGGACAAUGGGCGCAAGCCUGAUCCAGCCAUGCCGCGUGUGUGAAGAAGGCCUUUUGGUUGUAAAGCACUUUAAGCGAGGAGGAGGCUACUUGGAUUAAUACUCUAGGAUAGUGGACGUUACUCGCAGAAUAAGCACCGGCUAACUCUGUGCCAGCAGCCGCGGUAAUACAGAGGGUGCGAGCGUUAAUCGGAUUUACUGGGCGUAAAGCGUGCGUAGGCGGCUUUUUAAGUCGGAUGUGAAAUCCCUGAGCUUAACUUAGGAAUUGCAUUCGAUACUGGGAAGCUAGAGUAUGGGAGAGGAUGGUAGAAUUCCAGGUGUAGCGGUGAAAUGCGUAGAGAUCUGGAGGAAUACCGAUGGCGAAGGCAGCCAUCUGGCCUAAUACUGACGCUGAGGUACGAAAGCAUGGGGAGCAAACAGGAUUAGAUACCCUGGUAGUCCAUGCCGUAAACGAUGUCUACUAGCCGUUGGGGCCUUUGAGGCUUUAGUGGCGCAGCUAACGCGAUAAGUAGACCGCCUGGGGAGUACGGUCGCAAGACUA